AUUGUUGUCGUGUAUCGGUCAUAAAUGGUUAGUGGAUAGGACAUGCGAGACGUCACACACGCUUACCAAUGCUCAUAAAACAGAACAUCACUGAUCACCCAUGAUGUCCUUGCACUUUAGCUGUUCUGUUACAAAGAAAGAACACCAAAUAAUGCAGUCCAUGUUAACCAUCCGUGCCACCCAUGGCCUUCCUCUGUGUCUCUCAGGGAUGAUUCACCCUCUUGCUCUCUCUCACGAUGUGUGUAGGAUAGCGGAUCACGACCGUAGGAGACGCACCAUGAGGAAGCAAAGGCAAAGAUCACUCACCAGAGAGGGUGUAGUGCAUGAUGCGGUUCGAGAAAUUCACUUUGUGGAGGUCAAAGGUGAGACCGAUUUGCAUGAUCUCUCCCACACUCAUCACCUGGGGUUGUCAGCAAGAGCUGCUUAAAAUUUAGCUUCUUCUCCAAAAUUGAUUAAUCUCGCUAGCUACUACCACUUUGUUAUGCACUUUAUUUAAUUUCAUUGUGAUGGACUCUUUCGUGAUUAUAUAUAUCAUGUUAAUUAAUUACUAGUUGUCUCCUUCUUUGUUCUGUACUCAAUUCUUAUUUUCUGUAACCACAUAUGUGCAACUUUUUCUUGUACUCUUACUCCCAUGAUUAAUAUAUUCUUCUUAUGAUGCUAGUA